CCUAGUACCUAGUACUUACAUUAAUUCAUGAGAAGUUUAUCUUAAACCACUUUUAAAUAUCCGGCUGCAUGAGAUGUGCACUGAAACUAAGAUCCUAGGUGUUCAUCCUUGAGACGAAUUACAUAGCAUGGGUUUCAAAAGAUUCAUCACUGAAAACGUUUGUCCUCACCAACAGGUAGGCCUGCUGUUAAUUAGUGUGAUCAUUGUUAGUGCUUGUUUUCGGAGAUUGAGAAAAGUUCCUGCAAGGAACACAGAUUACAAAUCAAUUGUCUGCAUGACUUACAAUUUGUCUAGCAGGAAUGUCUAGCUUUGUCAAUCAGUCAGUUCCACUUGCAGCUCUGUCUGGACGCUUGAACAUUGGCCGCAGAUGGAUUUCUUUUCAGGAAUCAAUUCAACUUUUUGAAAAGCUCUUAACCUAGAGAGAACCAAAACCCUGCUUUGAUCUUUGAGAGAACCAAAACCCUGCUUUGAUCUUUGAGAGAACCAAAACCCUGCUUUGAUCUUUGAGAGAACAAAAACCCUGCUUUGAUCUUUGAGAGAACCAUAACCCUGCUUUGAUCUUUGAGAGAACCAAAACCCUGCUUUGAUCUUUGAGAGAACCAAAACCCUGCUUUGAUCUUUGAGAGAACCAAAACCAUGCUUUGAUCUUUGAGAGAACCAAAACCAUGCUUUGAUCUUUGAGAGAACCAAAACCCUGCUUUGAUCUUUGAGAGAACCAAAACCCUGCUUUGAUCUUUGAGAGAACCAAAACCCUGCUUUGAUCUUUGAGAGAACCAAAACCCUGCUUUGAUCUUUGAGAGAACCAAAACCCUGCUUUGAUCUUUGAGAGAACCAAAACCCUGCUUUGAUCUUUGAGAGAACCAAAACCCUGCUUUGAUCUUUGAGAGAACCAAAACCCUGCUUUGAUCUUUGAGAGAAUCAAAACCCUGCUUUGAUCUUUGAGAGAACCAAAAUAUUAACAAUUUUCGACUUCAAGAUGGAAUUGUGAAUUCACAUGAGUGAUCCCAUGGACGUACGUGUGUAGCCUGUCUGCCCUAACAAGUCAACAUGCUGCCUUACAUUGUACAUUCAAUGUUGAUGUCGUAUAAUAUAGGGUCUACCUUGUUGAUGUCGUAUUAUAUAGGGUCUACAUUGUUAAUGUCGUAUAAUAUAGGGUCUACCUAGAUGAUGUCGUAUAAUAUAGGGUCUACCUAGAUGAUGUCGUAUAAUAUAGGGUCUACCUUGUUGAUGUCGUAUAAUAUAGGGUCUACCUUGUUGAUGUCGUAUAAUAUAGGGUCUACCUUGUUGAUGUCGUAUAAUAUAGGGUCUACCUUGUUGAUGUCGUAUAAUAUAGGGUCUACAUUGUUGAUGUCGUAUAAUAUAGGGUCUACAUUGUUGAUGUCGUAUAAUAUAGGAUCUACAUUGUUGAUGUCGUAUAAUAUAGGGUCUACCUUGUUGAUGUCGUAUAAUAUAGGGUCUACCUUGUUGAUGUCGUAUAAUAUAGGGUCUACCUUGUUGAUGUCGUAUAAUAUAGGGUCUACCUAGAUGAUGUCGUAUAAUAUAGGGUCUACCUUGUUGAUGUCGUAUAAUAUAGGGUCUACCUUGUUGAUGUCGUAUAAUAUAGGGUCUACCUAGAUGAUGUCGUAUAAUAUAGGGUCUACCUUGUUGAUGUCGUAUAAUAUAGGGUCUACCUAGAUGAUGUCGUAUAAUAUAGGGUCUACCUUGUUGAUGUCGUAUAAUAUAGAAUCUACAUUGUUGAUGUCGUAUAAUAUAGGGUCUACCUUGUUGAUGUCGUAUAAUAUAGGGUCUACAUUGUUGAUGUCGUAUAAUAUAGGGUCUACCUAGAUGAUGUCGUAUAAUAUAGGGUCUACCUAGAUGAUGUCGUAUAAUAUAGGGUCUACCUUGUUGAUGUCGUAUAAUAUAGGGUCUACCUAGAUGAUGUCGUAUAAUAUAGGGUCUACCUUGUUGAUGUCGUAUAAUAUAGGGUCUACCUAGAUGAUGUCGUAUAAUAUAGGGUCUACCUUGUUGAUGUCGUAUAAUAUAGGGUCUACCUAGAUGAUGUCGUAUAAUAUAGGGUCUACCUAGAUGAUGUCGUAUAAUAUAGGGUCUACCUUGUUGAUGUCGUAUAAUAUAGGGUCUACCUAGAUGAUGUCGUAUAAUAUAGGGUCUACCUAGAUGAUGUCGUAUAAUAUAGGGUCUACCUUGUUGAUGUCGUAUAAUAUAGGGUCUACCUAGAUGAUGUCGUAUAAUAUAGGGUCUACCUUGUUGAUGUCGUAUAAUAUAGGGUCUACCUUGUUGAUGUCGUAUAAUAUAGGGUCUACCUAGAUGAUGUCGUAUAAUAUAGGGUCUACCUUGUUGAUGUCGUAUAAUAUAGGGUCUACCUUGUUGAUGUCGUAUAAUAUAGGGUCUACCUAGAUGAUGUCGUAUAAUAUAGGAUCUACAUUGUUGAUGUCGUAUAAUAUAGGGUCUACCUUGUUGAUGUCGUAUAAUAUAGGGUCUACCUAGAUGAUGUCGUAUAAUAUAGGGUCUACCUUGUUGAUGUCGUAUAAUAUAGGGUCUACCUUGUUGAUGUCGUAUAAUAUAGGGUCUACCUUGAUGAUGUCGUAUAAUAUAGGGUCUACCUUGUUGAUGUCGUAUAAUAUAGGGUCUACAUUGUUGAUGUCGUAUAAUAUAGGGUCUACCUAGAUGAUGUCGUAUAAUAUAGGGUCUACCUUGUUGAUGUCGUAUAAUAUAGGGUCUACCUUGUUGAUGUCGUAUAAUAUAGGGUCUACCUAGAUGAUGUCGUAUAAUAUAGGGUCUACCUUGUUGAUGUCGUAUAAUAUAGGGUCUACCUUGUUGAUGUCGUAUAAUAUAGGGUCUACCUUGUUGAUGUCGUAUAAUAUAGGGUCUACCUAGAUGAUGUCGUAUAAUAUAGGGUCUACCUAGAUGAUGUCGUAUAAUAUAGGGUCUACCUAGAUGAUGUCGUAUAAUAUAGGGUCUACCUUGUUGAUGUCGUAUAAUAUAGGGUCUACCUUGUUGAUGUCGUAUAAUAUAGGGUCUACCUAGAUGAUGUCGUAUAAUAUAGGGUCUACCUUGUUGAUGUCGUAUAAUAUAGGGUCUACCUUGUUGAUGUCGUAUAAUAUAGGGUCUACCUUGUUGAUGUCGUAUAAUAUAGGGUCUACCUAGAUGAUGUCGUAUAAUAUAGGGUCUACCUAGAUGAUGUCGUAUAAUAUAGGGUCUACCUAGAUGAUGUCGUAUAAUAUAGGGUCUACCUUGUUGAUGUCGUAUAAUAUAGGGUCUACCUAGAUGAUGUCGUAUAAUAUAGGGUCUACCUUGUUGAUGUCGUAUAAUAUAGGGUCUACCUAGAUGAUGUCGUAUAAUAUAGGGUCUACCUAGAUGAUGUCGUAUAAUAUAGGGUCUACCUUGUUGAUGUCGUAUAAUAUAGGGUCUACCUUGUUGAUGUCGUAUAAUAUAGGGUCUACCUAGAUGAUGUCGUAUAAUAUAGGGUCUACCUUGUUGAUGUCGUAUAAUAUAGGGUCUACCUUGUUGAUGUCGUAUAAUAUAGGGUCUACCUUGAUGAUGUCGUAUAAUAUAGGGUCUACCUUGUUGAUGUCGUAUAAUAUAGGGUCUACCUAGAUGAUGUCGUAUAAUAUAGGGUCUACCUUGUUGAUGUCGUAUAAUAUAGGGUCUACCUAGAUGAUGUCGUAUAAUAUAGGGUCUACCUUGUUGAUGUCGUAUAAUAUAGGGUCUACCUUGUUGAUGUCGUAUAAUAUAGGGUCUACCUAGAUGAUGUCGUAUAAUAUAGGGUCUACCUAGAUGAUGUCGUAUAAUAUAGGGUCUACCUUGUUGAUGUCGUAUAAUAUAGGGUCUACCUUGUUGAUGUCGUAUAAUAUAGGGUCUACCUUGUUGAUGUCGUAUAAUAUAGGGUCUACCUAGAUGAUGUCGUAUAAUAUAGGGUCUACCUUGUUGAUGUCGUAUAAUAUAGGAUCUACAUUGUUGAUGUCGUAUAAUAUAGGGUCUACCUUGUUGAUGUCGUAUAAUAUAGGGUCUACCUUGAUGAUGUCGUAUAAUAUAGGGUCUACCUUGUUGAUGUCGUAUAAUAUAGGGUCUACCUUGUUGAUGUCGUAUAAUAUAGGGUCUACCUAGAUGAUGUCGUAUAAUAUAGGGUCUACCUUGUUGAUGUCGUAUAAUAUAGGGUCUACCUAGAUGAUGUCGUAUAAUAUAGGGUCUACCUUGUUGAUGUCGUAUAAUAUAGGGUCUACCUUGUUGAUGUCGUAUAAUAUAGGGUCUACCUAGAUGAUGUCGUAUAAUAUAGGGUCUACCUUGUUGAUGUCGUAUAAUAUAGGGUCUACCUUGAUGAUGUCGUAUAAUAUAGGGUCUACCUUGUUGAUGUCGUAUAAUAUAGGGUCUACCUAGAUGAUGUCGUAUAAUAUAGGGUCUACCUUGUUGAUGUCGUAUAAUAUAGGGUCUACCUAGAUGAUGUCGUAUAAUAUAGGGUCUACCUAGAUGAUGUCGUAUAAUAUAGGGUCUACCUUGUUGAUGUCGUAUAAUAUAGGGUCUACCUUGUUGAUGUCGUAUAAUAUAGGGUCUACCUAGAUGAUGUCGUAUAAUAUAGGGUCUACCUUGUUGAUGUCGUAUAAUAUAGGGUCUACCUUGUUGAUGUCGUAUAAUAUAGGGUCUACCUAGAUGAUGUCGUAUAAUAUAGGAUCUACAUUGUUGAUGUCGUAUAAUAUAGGGUCUACCUUGUUGAUGUCGUAUAAUAUAGGGUCUACCUAGAUGAUGUCGUAUAAUAUAGGGUCUACCUUGUUGAUGUCGUAUAAUAUAGGGUCUACCUUGUUGAUGUCGUAUAAUAUAGGGUCUACCUUGAUGAUGUCGUAUAAUAUAGGGUCUACCUUGUUGAUGUCGUAUAAUAUAGGGUCUACCUAGAUGAUGUCGUAUAAUAUAGGGUCUACCUUGUUGAUGUCGUAUAAUAUAGGGUCUACCUAGAUGAUGUCGUAUAAUAUAGGGUCUACCUAGAUGAUGUCGUAUAAUAUAGGGUCUACCUUGUUGAUGUCGUAUAAUAUAGGGUCUACCUUGUUGAUGUCGUAUAAUAUAGGGUCUACCUAGAUGAUGUCGUAUAAUAUAGGGUCUACCUUGUUGAUGUCGUAUAAUAUAGGGUCUACCUUGUUGAUGUCGUAUAAUAUAGGGUCUACCUUGUUGAUGUCGUAUAAUAUAGGGUCUACCUAGAUGAUGUCGUAUAAUAUAGGGUCUACCUAGAUGAUGUCGUAUAAUAUAGGGUCUACCUAGAUGAUGUCGUAUAAUAUAGGGUCUACCUUGUUGAUGUCGUAUAAUAUAGGGUCUACCUUGUUGAUGUCGUAUAAUAUAGGGUCUACCUAGAUGAUGUCGUAUAAUAUAGGGUCUACCUUGUUGAUGUCGUAUAAUAUAGGGUCUACCUAGAUGAUGUCGUAUAAUAUAGGGUCUACCUAGAUGAUGUCGUAUAAUAUAGGGUCUACCUUGUUGAUGUCGUAUAAUAUAGGGUCUACCUUGUUGAUGUCGUAUAAUAUAGGGUCUACCUAGAUGAUGUCGUAUAAUAUAGGGUCUACCUUGUUGAUGUCGUAUAAUAUAGGGUCUACCUUGUUGAUGUCGUAUAAUAUAGGGUCUACCUUGAUGAUGUCGUAUAAUAUAGGGUCUACCUUGUUGAUGUCGUAUAAUAUAGGGUCUACCUAGAUGAUGUCGUAUAAUAUAGGGUCUACCUUGUUGAUGUCGUAUAAUAUAGGGUCUACCUUGUUGAUGUCGUAUAAUAUAGGGUCUACCUAGAUGAUGUCGUAUAAUAUAGGGUCUACCUUGUUGAUGUCGUAUAAUAUAGGGUCUACCUUGUUGAUGUCGUAUAAUAUAGGGUCUACCUUGUUGAUGUCGUAUAAUAUAGGGUCUACCUAGAUGAUGUCGUAUAAUAUAGGGUCUACCUUGUUGAUGUCGUAUAAUAUAGGAUCUACAUUGUUGAUGUCGUAUAAUAUAGGGUCUACCUUGUUGAUGUCGUAUAAUAUAGGGUCUACCUUGAUGAUGUCGUAUAAUAUAGGGUCUACCUUGUUGAUGUCGUAUAAUAUAGGGUCUACCUUGUUGAUGUCGUAUAAUAUAGGGUCUACCUUGUUGAUGUCGUAUAAUAUAGGGUCUACCUUGUUGAUGUCGUAUAAUAUAGGGUCUACCUAGAUGAUGUCGUAUAAUAUAGGGUCUACCUUGUUGAUGUCGUAUAAUAUAGGGUCUACCUUGUUGAUGUCGUAUAAUAUAGGGUCUACCUAGAUGAUGUCGUAUAAUAUAGGGUCUACCUUGUUGAUGUCGUAUAAUAUAGGGUCUACCUAGAUGAUGUCGUAUAAUAUAGGGUCUACCUAGAUGAUGUCGUAUAAUAUAGGGUCUACCUUGUUGAUGUCGUAUAAUAUAGGGUCUACCUUGUUGAUGUCGUAUAAUAUAGGGUCUACCUUGUUGAUGUCGUAUAAUAUAGGGUCUACAUUGUUGAUGUCGUAUAAUAUAGGGUCUACCUUGUUGAUGUCGUAUAAUAUAGGGUCUACCUAGAUGAUGUCGUAUAAUAUAGGGUCUACAUUGUUGUAGGAACGUUGGAAUUUAUUACAUAUGAUAUUAACCAUAGACCUAUAGGUAUAUUAAUUUUUAAUUAAUUUUAAUUAAUAUUAAUAUAUGUCUGUGAUAUUUACAUUACUUUACUUUUUUUUUAAUCAUUUAUUACAUUACAUUAAAAACUAUUCUUUUAAAAAAAUG